GAUUGAGCACCUGGUGGGAAGGCGGGGCCAACCCAGGGGAGCUCCGUGCAUGCAGUGCACCUGAGUGACUGGAAGGGAUGGAGCCAGGAUCCACCCCUUCCCAGACCUCAUGUAAGGGUUGGCAGUGGAGGUGAGGGCUUCUUGCUGGAGAUCCCUGCCUACCUGAGGCCUUCUGAAAGUUCUGUUCUCAUCAAGGAAUGCCUGACAAGGAGAAGAUGUGAAUAGGAUGCAGCUGAAAGCUUUUGAGCCCUUGGGAUUUAGGAGAGUUUGUUGAUAAGUAGAUGAUGAGUGCCUGUGUAACUAUGGAAGUGCAGAAGUUCAUGAGGAAACUACAUGAAAUUAAUC
ensembl:lncRNA